UACGUAGGCAGCAAGCGUUGUUCGGAGUUACUGGGCGUAAAGGGUGCGUAGGCGGCUUUUUAAGUUUGGUGUGAAAUCUCCCGGCUCAACUGGGAGGGUGCGCCGAAUACUGAGAGGCUAGAGUGUGGGAGAGGAGAGUGGAAUUCCUGGUGUAGCGGUGAAAUGCGCAGAUAUCAGGAAGAACACCCGUGGCUAAGGCGGCUCUCUAGUACGGUACUGACGCUGAGACGCGAAAGCGUGGGGAGCGAACAGG
rnacentral:rRNA from 1 species